rnacentral:lncRNA from 1 species
GCGUCGGCCCAAUUGAUAUGGCCGAUUUCCUCAGUGUUGAUGUCCACCAUUUGGGGCCGUCCUUCGGCCCGGAUUUCUUCAACUUUAUCUCCGAUCCACUGGAAUAGUUUCCCGUGGAGUGUAGAAGGCACGCACUCGUUUGCAUGAAUCCAAUCACGCCCGAGUAGUAGGUUAUAUUGACUAUCUGCAUCAACCACAAAGAAUGCAGUUCGUAAAGUUUUAGAACCUACCGUGAUCUCGGUCGUAAGCACCCCUCGAGCUUGCUGACCGUUCCCAGUGAAGUCGGUCAUGAUCGUGUCCGUAGGUUUCAACUCAUCUUCAUCUUUGCCCAACUUCUUAAAGAAUGCAGUGGGCAUGACAUUGACCAUUGCUCCGCCGUCUACCAUAACUCGGCCUACUGGCCGACCUUCAAUUAGGGCCCGAAUAAAAAGAGGCCUUACGAAUCUUGUCUACAUGGCCGAUGGCUUCUCGAAAACCACCAUAUCGGCCGGUUUGGCAUCUUCCAAUUGCAACUGGGAUACUUUAAGCCCAUCUUCCUCCUCUUCUUUGAACUCUUCAUACUCGAUAAGCUCUGCCUUAAAAGAUUGAGGCAGAGCAUAUACCAUAUUCACCUCAGCCGGCGACUCUUCGGCUGACUUUCCUUUAAUUCUUUGUUCUUUUCUUCCGACUCUUUGGCCGUCUCGGCUGAAGAGUCACUCUCCAUCCGGACCUCCCUUUCCUUAGGGGGCCAUCUCUUUCUCUUGAUCAUCGUUUCGAGGGAAGCUAUUUUGUCUUCUAACUCCCUCCUGCUUAUUUUUUCUUCUGACUCGGCCUCGGUUGGCCGUUCUACCCUUGACUUCAUCCGAGGGGCAGGCGAUGAGCCGCCUGCCUCGUGGUCGUUUCUCAUUGGGCGAAAAGGGUGUGACUGCUCAUCAGGGCGCCUCCAUACAUUAAGCCUUAUCCCUUUCGCUUCUUCAUAGUGUUGUCUUGCCUCAGUUUGCAUCCUUUGCUGCCGACGCUUUUGAGUUUUCGUUAACAUCGGCCCCUGCCACCUAGCCGAUGGUUUAACCUCAACUUCGUGCCAUUCAUCCACUGGCACGUUCGCCGGUACCUUUACUGUUCUCAAAUAAUUUUUCAAAAUUUCUCUUCUCUCCCAAGGUCUCGACCAAGGCUGAAUGCCGAGCUCGUUGACUAAUCUCCGACCGAGGAAUUCUAUGUCUCCCUUGGUCAUUCCUUCGAAUUCCGGCUCGGGUCUUGGCCUCGUUUGGUGCUGCCAAUGCGGCCGAUAUCCGGGAAUCCUUGGCUUGGUGCCGAAAGGUCUACCCUGGUAGUCCCAUCGGCUUUGACGCUCGCCACGCCUGUUGUUGUAAUAAUCAUGCAGAAUCUUCUGCAUCAACAUGUCUUGUUUGCGUUGAACCGAUUUGACUUCCGGUUCAGUGUCAUUGGAGGCCUCGUCUGAGCCUUUUUCUUCUUGGUCUUCACCAUCAGGAAUGUCAUCCCAUUCCUCGGGGAAUGCCAUCAACUCAUUCCACUCGUUGCCUCUUUUCUUGGCGUUGACAAUGGCUUCCCAAUCUUUUUUCAUCAUUUCGGCCUUGCACCUUAUGCAAAGCCGAAGAUGCUUUUUGGCAUGUGCCACGUUGUCUGCGGUCUCCAAGUCCGCAGUCUCUUUCCCUUUAACAUUCACCAUAUUGACCUGAAAAGGAAACGAACUUCUGUCAAUUACCUUAUUUUCAUUUUCUUGGUCGGCUAAUAUGAGCCGACCCUCUAAUAAAUCCGGCCUUUAAAAGAUUUUCUAUUUCAUUCUUAAUUUGGAGUACAAUACUCGGCUCAAACCUACGAGCCGGUUGUUUAAAAGGCUUAAACCCUUUUUUAAUGGGCAGCCUAUGAUCUACAAUUUUUCGACUUAACCCAUGCAUUUCUUCAUAGCUCCAGUCGAAGCAAUCCUUGUACUCCUUCAAUAGUUCUUUCAGCUCCUUUUGCUGUCGAGCCGAAAGCUUUGCGCUUAUAUACGUCGGUCUUUUAUCUUCGUCGGAUCCCAAAUUUACUUCAAUCAGCGGGUUUUGGGUCUCCAACUUUUUCUCAUCGACUUUGAUAGGCGAUUCUUCUAGAUCCAAUUCUUUUGCUUGCCUAUUCAUUUCGUAUGACUUGUCGGUCUCGGUGACCGACUUCAUUUGAUUUUCUUUUUCGGCCCUGUAAACCGAAUCUAUUAUGACUUCUUCGGCUUUAUUAGCCGAGUCAUCAAGCGUUAACACAUCGGCUGUGACAGCCAAAUCUUCCUUAUAGCCGAUCUUGUUGAUCGGCUUAUCCUGUCGAGGCUCUUGACAAGCCUCUAUUCUCAAUUUUUCGGACUCCAUUUUAACCAUUUUGGCGGCUCAUCAGCUGCCACUAAAGCCCCUUCUUCUCUAGUAAAGAUCAACUGGACUCCUUCUUCUGUAACUCUUACGAAGGAAAUUUGAUUCGAAUUCGCGUCGGCCCAAUUGAUAUGGCCGAUUUCCUCAGUGUUGAUGUCCACCAUUUGGGGCCGUCCUUCGGCCCGGAUUUCUUCAACUUUAUCUCCGAUCCACUGGAAUAGUUUCCCGUGGAGUGUAGAAGGCACGCACUCGUUUGCAUGAAUCCAAUCACGCCCGAGUAGUAGGUUAUAUUGACUAUCUGCAUCAACCACAAAGAAUGCAGUUCGUAAAGUUUUAGAACCUACCGUGAUCUCGGUCGUAAGCACCCCUCGAGCUUGCUGACCGUUCCCAGUGAAGUCGGUCAUGAUCGUGUCCGUAGGUUUCAACUCAUCUUCAUCUUUGCCCAACUUCUUAAAGAAUGCAGUGGGCAUGACAUUGACCAUUGCUCCGCCGUCUACCAUAACUCGGCCUACUGGCCGACCUUCAAUUAGGGCCCGAAUAAAAAGAGGCCUUACGAAUCUUGUCUACAUGGCCGAUGGCUUCUCGAAAACCACCAUAUCGGCCGGUUUGGCAUCUUCCAAUUGCAACUGGGAUACUUUAAGCCCAUCUUCCUCCUCUUCUUUGAACUCUUCAUACUCGAUAAGCUCUGCCUUAAAAGAUUGAGGCAGAGCAUAUACCAUAUUCACCUCAGCCGGCGACUCUUCGGCUGACUUUCCUUUAAUUCUUU